rnacentral:lncRNA from 1 species
AAAUUUAAUCAUCAUCAAUGCCAGCAGACAGUAUGUUAAUGAAAGGUUGCAAGGAAAGGCCAAACGGUCAUUAAGUUUUAAAUAGGUUUUAAAUGCUUUAAAAUAAAAUAAAAUAAAAAGAACUGAAGGAAAGUGUAACAAAUCACAAAAGAUUUGUUCAUCUUCCUCACGAAGACAAACCCAAUCUCUCGACCUCGCCCAUCCUCUCGACCUCUCUCUCAAAAUGCAAACAAACCCAUGGCUUCAAAGAAAUCAACAAGAAUGCUCACCUUGCUCGCUUGCUCUUCAGACGUCUCCGCUUCGAUACAAAUCUCCUGCUCCCACGAACUCUUACGCUUCGUCAAUCGCUGGUGGAGGAGGAGGCGGCUUUUACUCCUGCUCCCACGAACUCUUACGCUUCGUCAAUCGCUGGUGGAGGAGGAGGCGGCUUUUUCGGUGGAAAAUUACUAGGGUUUUUUCGCUACAGUAGCCGUCCAAUUUCUUAGGGUUUUUCUCCUUCUCCGCUAUCUAACCUUUUUUCUCCCUCCCCAAUAGUAUCCGCCCCCCUCCUUUUAUACUCAUCGUGUUAGGGUUUCUGAUUUGGCUAUGGAGAUCAAAAGGGUAUCCCUUUAGGGUGCUCACAGUUUGUUUGU